rnacentral:rRNA from 1 species
CAUCGUUUAAUGUAAUCAUACUAAAUAAUGCCUGCCCACUGAUUUAUUUAACGGCCGCAGUAUCCUGACUGUGCAAAGGUAGCAUAAUCAUUUGUCUCCUAAUUAGAGGCUCGUAUGAAUGGCGCCACGUGAUGGACCCUGUGUCCCUUAGUAUACUAAAGUUAAUGUUUAAGUUAAAAAGCUUAAAUAAUACCGCAGGACGAGAAGACCCCGUAGAUCUUAAUAUUUUAAGUUAUAAAUCUUAAUCGCAGCUUACAUUAGUUAACUACACAAUAUUUAGUUGGGGUGACGUGAAGCAAUUAAACGCUUCCUAAGCAAACAAUUAUGUAAGGUUUAAUGACCCGGUUACCGAUUUAAAAAACAAGUUACCUUGGGGAUAACAGCGUAAUUUAACUUUAGAGUUCUUAUCAAAAGUUAAGUUUGCGACCUCGAUGUUGGAUUAAGAGCCCACCCCUGGGCAGCACCAGCGGGCGGGAGGUCUGUUCGACCCUUA